rnacentral:rRNA from 1 species
CCUACGGGAUGCAGCAGUGGGGAAUAUUGGGCAAUGGGCGCAAGCCUGACCCAGCAACGCCGCGUGAAGGAAGAAGGCUUUCGGGUUGUAAACUUCUUUUGUCAGGGAAGAGUAGAAGACGGUACCUGACGAAUAAGCCACGGCUAACUACGUGCCAGCAGCCGCGGUAAUACGUAGGUGGCAAGCGUGGUCCGGAUUUACUGGGUGUAAAGGGCGUGUAGCCGGGUUGACAAGUCAGAUGUGAAAUCCUGCGGCUUAACCGCAGAACUGCAUUUGAAACUGUUGAUCUUGAGUACUGGAGAGGCAGAUGGAAGUACUAGUGUAGCGGUGAAAUGCGUAGAUAUUAGGAGGAACACCAGUGGCGAAGGCGGUCUGCUGGACGACAACUGACGGUGAGGCGCGAAAGCGUGGGGAGCAAACAGGAUUAGAUACCCCAGUAGUC